GACGAACGCUGGCGGCGUGCUUAACACAUGCAAGUCGAACGGAAAGGCCCUGAUUUUGUGGGGUGCUCGAGUGGCGAACGGGUGAGUAACACGUGAGUAACCUGCCCUUGACUUUGGGAUAACUUCAGGAAACUGGGGCUACUACCGGAUAGGAGCUCCUGCUGCAUGGUGGGGGUUGGAAAGUUUCGGCGGGUGGGGAUGGACUCGCGGCUUAUCAGCUUGUUGGUGGGGUAGUGGCUUACCAAGGCUUUGACGGGUAGCCGGCCUGAGAGGGUGACCGGCCACAUUGGGACUGAGAGACGGCCCAGACUGCAACGGUAGGCAGCAGUGGGGAAUAUGGCACAAUGGGCGGAAGCCUGAUGCAGCAACGCCGCGGGCGGGAUGACGGCCUGCGGGUUGUAAACCGCUGUCGCCUGUGACGAAGCGGGAGUGACGGUAAUGGGUGAAGAAGCACCGGCUAACUACGUG
rnacentral:rRNA from 1 species